UUUAUUUUUCAUUAUGACAAUAACCUUACACUGAUUACUUAUGAUUAAUACAACAACACCAAGCUCGAACAUUUUCUGGAAUUGCCAUACAAUAGCCCCCCUUGGGAUAGUUCUUUCUGCAGUCUAGAUCGCAUUCUGGAGUAUUAGUACAUGGUUUUAUGCAAUCGUACCCUGAACUUAAAAAACCAUUUCAUGUUCCUGCAAUCAAAAUGUGUUAAAAAGUAUUUGACAAUUUUAAGGUUAAUUGUUACAAUUUGUUUCUAUUGACAAUAGCAUUCAUAAACCUAGUAUUCAUAAACCUAGUACAAAAUGCGAAUCAAACCAAAAAGGAUUACAAAAUCUCAUUGUUAUCAUCCUCCAUCCAAUAGUAACUAGUUCUAAAAAGAACCUUCUCUUUAUUUUAAAUGAAAACCCAUGAGUUUAACUUAAGAGAAAAUAAUAAACCUUUUCUGUUGUGGAGAAUCAACAAUGAAUAUGAAAAGCCAAGAUACAGCGUCUACAUACAUUGAUUACAAUAAAAGAACACUAGAAUAAUAACUAUACAAAGAUGCACUCUUCUUUGGAGAUGAAACUAACAAUACCUGCGCCUAUAAUCAAGAAAAGAGACAAAAUCAACAAAAUAAAUGUUUUGUAGUUGUGACAAGCCAU
rnacentral:lncRNA from 1 species